GGGGGGUCUGCCCCACAGAUCUGCCCUGUAGAUCAGUGCAAGAGAUGGUAACUGGGAUGGCUCUGCCCCAUAGAUGGCACUGGGGGGGGGCUCUGCCCCAUAGAUCUGCCGCAUAGGUGGCACUGGGGGGGCUCUGCCCCAUAGGUGGCACGGGUGUGGCUCUGCCCCAUAGAUCUGCCCCAUAGAUGGCACUGGGGGGGGUCUCUGCCCCAUAGAUGGCACUGGGGGGGGCCUCUGCCCCAUAGGUGGCACUGAGGGGGCUCUGCCCCAUAGAUCCGCCCCAUACAUUUCACUGGGGGGGCUCUGCCCCAUAGAUCUACUUCAUAGAUGGUAAUUGAGGGGGCUCUGCCCCAUAGAUGGCAC
ensembl:lncRNA